GGUGGCGAUAGCGACAGGGUCAUACCCGUUCCCAUUCCGAACACGGAAGUCAAGCCUGUCAGCGCCGAUGGUACUUGGGCGGUCACGCCCUGGGAGAGUAGGACGCCGCC
rnacentral:rRNA from 1 species